CGUAGAAACAGGACAGGCUGUACAACAGCCACAAAAUAAUUGGCAAUGUUCAAUGGUUCAAAGUUCAAAUGUUUCCGCGAGCACGUGUAAUCUGAAUGAAAGACAACUGAAUAAUACUAAUUUAUCAAAAACAAACACGCAGAGCAAAGUUCAAAAUGAUAAGGGCUUUCCCUUAAUUUAACAAUCAACCAUGCAUGUCUUGUUAGAGAGAAUGAAAAUUUCGACCGACCCCCUCACCUGUUCAUGUUCCUUGUGUCUGCAGCGACUGGUCUGGUGAACUGUAUGCGUAUACUACACACGUAAAAAUCUCACAUCUUGUAGCAAGUCUGCCAACAGGCCGUCAACAAGUUGUCUUCGCACUGCUUGUCCCAAGUCAACAAGUUUGGAACAAGCUGUUAACACAAUUUGUAACAACCUUGUUGAUAUUAUCAGACUUGUUACAAGGUUGUUCCAACAAGUCCGAUGCAGACGCAGUCAUGAUAUAACAAUAUUGUUACAACCUUGUGUCGUCAACCUUGUAACAUUCUUGUUAUAUCGUGACUGUAUCAGACUUGUUAGAACAACCUUGUAACAAGUCUGAUGGUGCCAUCAAGCUUGUUACAAGUUGUUAACAGCUUGUUCCAAACUUGUUACAACAACUGGGAACAAGCAGUGCGAAGACAACUUGUUGACAGCUUGUGAACAGAUUUGUAACCACUUGUUUGCAGACCUGUAACAACUUGUGCGUUUUUACGUGUGUAACUGAUGAGGACUAUUAAUUAAACAAGGACUAUCGAAUAAUUUUCUCAUUGGACAUCAUUGCUAUGUAAAUACUUAAAUUUGAUUUGAAGUGUUCCCAAUGGUCAACUUCAGGCCCAUAGUGCAAAUAUAAUCAGUCGAAUAGCAGGUACUGUCCAAGGGGAUUAUCACCCCUUGGGCUUGGUAAUCUUGGUUCAGGUCUAUGUCAGGAGGGGGGCAUUCAAUCUCUCCUAGCAGGUCUUAUAUAUACCUAACCUGAAUU